UCCUCCUCCUCCUUCUCCUCCUUCUCCUUUUUCUUCUGGUUCAUUGGUUUGUUUGUUUGUAGAGACAGGGUUUCAUUGUGUAACUUUGGCUGAUCUAGAACUCACUCUGUAGGCCAGGCUGGCCUUGAACUCACAGACACCUGCCUGCCUUUGCCUCCUGAGUGCUUGGAUUAAAGGCAUGCACCACCACUGCCAGGUCAUGAGGUCCUGACAGUUACCGAAGGUAAAGUCACAACUUACUUGGUAGAAAUGUGUUGACAAAUGGAUCUUCUGUCUACUGACAUUAAAGACUUCUGUUGUACCAAAUAGGAUACUCAAAUUGAAAUGGAUGAGUUUCCAGGUGCAUGUAACAUAUGAAGUAUAAACAACAUGAAAUAAAUAAUAUAAAUAAGACUAAGAGGAAGAAUGGGACUGAAGCAAUUAUAAAAUGCCAUCCUUAAAACAACCUCAUGACUAGAAUGACAGGAUUCUAUCAGAACUUUAAAGAACUAACAGCAAAUCAACUUAACAUUUAAUACUUCUUGCCCGAAAAAAAUCAAGACUUCCUGACUAUUACCUGAUACUAAGGCAGAUAAUGAACCUGACAUGUGGAGCAUGCCUUUAAUCCUAGCAAUUCCACAGGCAGGGAAGGCAGACCUCAGUGAGUUCAAGGCCAUCUUGGCCCCCAAAACUAUAAAACAAGCAAGCAAGCAAACAAAUCAACAAACAAAAAACCCACCACAUACUGGUACAACCAAAAAGAAAUUACACUCUGAUGUUAAAAUUAAACAACUGGUCUGGUCACAUUAGCACAGGUCUUUAAACACAGGUUCAUACAGAGAAACGCUGUCUACAAUGAAGGAAUGAAUAACCCGUCCCCCAAAUUUUCUGUUAGAUAUUUCACAGACACAGACACGUCACAUCAUUGUGUGUUUCUGUGCCAAUUUCAAACACUACCCACCCUCAUCUCCUCCCUCCCCUGUCCUGGUCCACAAUUCCAACAAUUACCCUAUGAUUGUUCAUCCCUAUUCGUCUUGCCUGGACCCACUGAGAUGAACUAGAGUCAUUUGUGAGACUGGGUUUGGAGCUAUGUGCUGGAGCCUGAGUGCUCAGCACAGGAUAACAACUAUAGGCAGUGAUUCUUCUACAAUCUAUCCAUAGCCAACAUCUGAGAGAUAAAGUGAGCCAUUCCCUUUCCUAGACUGACUGUGGUUUUCUGUGAGGCCAGUGCAGCCAAGGACAGUUGCUGUUGGUUACUCAUUACAGUAGUUGUAUGGAGUCUAGAGAAUGGCCUGUCUUACUUCCUCCUCUUUCCCUUACUUCCUAACCACCUCUUGUCUCUCAGUGUUCCCAGAGCUGGAGGUGGUAUGGAGUAACAGACAUUUUCAGGACUAGAACCAUGUGCUUUACUUAUCUUUUGCAUCUUGCCAAGCGUCUGCAUCCACCAGACAUCUGUUUCCCUUCAUAUCAAAUUUAGCUUGAGUCACGGAGCAGUAAAAUGAGUUGGUAAAAUGACAAGACCGCCAUCUAGUGGUAAAAGCAGUACAUCGCGGAAUGAAUUCUGCCCUAAGCUGUUAGCAAAACGAACACUUUUUUAGACACUUUUUUUCCCCCUCAAAAUCCAAGUUCUUUGAAUAUCUGUACCAAAGUCAAAAUUUCAGACUUUGGUUUUGGCUUCGCAUAUUUGUGUGUUGGGGAUGGGACUCUGGCUUCUCAAGUUAGCCUGUUAAUUGUUUUGUAUGAAGUAGGCUUGUUUUAGGCUAUUUUGCAUGCGAAGGAUUCAGAAACCAGGAUGGGGAGUCAGAUACCGGGUGCAGAGUCCUAUCAAACCCAGUUCUGGUCUAGGCUGGCAGUCGUCAUGGGGAGGCUGUGCAGAUCGGGUCCAGGGCAGCCUGACAGCUCGAGCUGUGUGACAGGAAGCCUGAGACAGAGUGGGAGGGACCGGUCUUCGCCGAGCAGGAAUACACACCCAGAAACAUGGUGGAAGGUUGUUAGCCCUUAGGUGGGGGUUGAAAAAAAAUAGUUCCGAGUGGGAGGAAUUAGAGGAGUGACGUAAACGGAAGCUGGAAACUGGGUGUGGGAGGCUGGAGACCUGAGACAGAGAACCAAAGACAGAAGUAUCAUCAGCCCGUUCAAGUCCAGAGCUCCAGGCCCUGCACCGCGGGGAAUCGCGAGGUACAGACCUGGAGUCGGAGGACAUAGGACUUCGUGGGAAGGUAAAACUCCCAGCAGCCGCGGAAAGUCAGCAAUCAGUAAUCGGCAGCGAAGCGGCGGGAACUGGAGCCAGGCCAGGGCUCACUGAUCACCCAGACCUUCGUACCUGUGGAGACCUGGAAGGUGGAGAGGGAGGAGACAGUAGCUAAGGAUUCAGUUCAUAUUCAUGUCAUUUAAAAAAAUUCCUCUGAGAAUAGGACCCCCGUUGAAGGAAUCAGAGAAAGAACUGGAAGAGCUUGAAGGGGCUUGAGACCCCAUAUGAACAACAAUGCCAACCAACCAGAGCUUCCAGGGACUAAGCCACUACCUAAAGACUAUACAUGGACUGACCCUGGACUCUGACCUCAUAGGUAGCAAUGAAUAUCCUAGUAAGAGCACCAGUGGAAGGGGAAGCCCUGGGUCCUGCUAAGACUGAACCCCCAGUGAACGUGAUUGUUGGGGGGAGGGCAGCAAUGGGGGGAG
ensembl:lncRNA